UUACGUCAGCUCAGGGAUGGCUUACUCCACAUGCACAAGGAAAAAUAUUCAAUUGGCAGCAUGAUACCCUGAAAACUUCUUGAAUGACAGAAGAGCAGCCUCAGUCAGUACCAUGGAGGAAAGAUCUCAGCAACAGCAACUUCAAAAAGGAUCCACAUUUCACCUUUUCUGAAGCACACAGUUCUUUCCAUCAAGAUUCAACAGGAAUUUCUGUUCUCAUCAGAAAUACACCAUGUGAACACAGACAAUGCAAACCUCAGAAGAGCUUCCCUUGAGAGUAGCUUGCUUUGCUAUUCUGAAACCUUUACAGCACAUUGUGCUUGAGGCCAAGGGAAAAAAAAAGAAGAAAAAAGUAUCAGAAGUUUAUUUAAAGAAAAUUGCAUCAAAUUUUUACAAAGUUCCAUCUCCUCCCCUACUAAUCCAGCAUCUGCAUGGUGGUACAUUAUGGGUCAUGUGGACAUUGAAAUAUAAUUUCUUUAUAUUCAUUUCCUCAUUAACCUUCUUUUUAAGACAAUGAAUUUAGGGUAGAAUUUAAGUUAUCUGAAUCAGUCACCAGUACUUAUCAGGCAAGACUUGAGCACAGUUGAAGGCAUCCAAAAAAGUUGGUCAGUGUCCACCUGUGAGGUGCCAUGCUGGGACUCUCCUGAACUGGCCACGUGGUGCAUGAACUUUUGUCAUAUUUGUGCUGGAGACAUCCCUACAGAAAAAUCCCAACAGUUUUUUGAGGUUUUUUUUCAUUCCUCCUAAAACUGAAUAAUUUACAUGCAAAUAUUAGGCCUGGAGGUAACUGGCAGAAGCACAGAUGGAAAAAAAAUAAUAAUAAAAAAGACCCAACAAUGAAUAUUUAGUUUCAUGACUGAAUAAGAAGAUCCAAGUUUGGAGCCAUUCUGGUACAGCAACACUGAGUGAGAAAAAUAGGGCAAACUAUAAUUUCUAGUCCUUGUCUAACAC